rnacentral:tRNA from 1 species
GCCUCGGUCGUAUAGUCCGGCCAAGUAUGCAGGCCUUUCGAGCCUGCGAUCACCAGCAUGGGUGACAGGAAACCCGGGUUCAAAUCCCGGCCGAGGCACCA